AUUGAACGCUGGCGGCAGGCCUAACACAUGCAAGUCGAACGAGUGGCGGACGGGUGAGUAAUGUCUGUGAAACUGCCCGUUGGAGGUGGAUAACUACUGGAAACGGUAGCUAAUACCGCAUACCCUCGGAUGUGCCCAGAUGUGAUUAGCUUGUAGGUGAGGUAACGGCUCACCAAGGCGACGAUCCCUAGCUGGUCUGAGAGGAUGAACAGCCACACUGGAACUGAGACACGGUCCAGACUCCUACGGGAGGCAGCAGUGGGGAAUAUUGCACAAUGGGCGAAAGCCUGAUGCAGACAUGCCGCGUGUAUGAAGAAGGCCUUCGGGUUGUAAAGUACUUUAAGCGGGGAGGCGUUACCAGCAGAAGAAGCACCGGCUAACUCCGUGCCAGCCGCCGCGGUAAUAC
rnacentral:rRNA from 1 species